rnacentral:tRNA from 1 species
GAUACAGUGGCUUAGUGGUUAGCACUGUCGCCUCACAGCAUGAAGGAUGCUGGUUCGAGUCCUGCCUGGGUCA